rnacentral:rRNA from 1 species
AGGAUAAGCUGCUAAGGGCGCACGGUGGAUGCCUUGGCGCCAGGAGCCGAUGAAGGACGGGGCGAACGCCGAUACUGCCUCGGGGAGCCGUAAGCAGGCCGCGAUCCGGGGAUGUCCGAAUGGGGGAACCCAGCCGUCGUAAUGGGCGGCUAUCCGGCGGUGAAUCCAUAGCCGUCGGAGGGCACACCAGGGGAACUGAAACAUCUUAGUACCCUGAGGAGAAGAAAACAACCGUGAUUCCGCAAGUAGCGGCGAGCGAACGCGGAGGAGCCCAAACCGGGAGGCUUGCCUUCCGGGGUUGUGGGACGUCCCGUAUGGAGUUACAAAAGAGCAUUCUAGGCGAAGAGGUCUGGAAAGGCCCGCCAUAGGAGGUAACAGCCCUGUAGCCGAAAGGGUGCUCUCUCCGGGACGGAUCCCGAGUACCGCGGGGCACGUGGAACCCCGCGGGAAGCAGGCAGGACCAUCUGCCAAGGCUAAAUACUCCCUGGCGACCGAUAGUGAACCAGUACCGUGAGGGAAAGGUGAAAAGAACCGCGGGAGCGGAGUGAAAGAGAACCUGAAACCGUGCGCUUACAAGAAGUCAGAGCCCUUUUGAUGGGUGAUGGCGUGCCUUUUGUAGAAUGAACCGGCGAGUUGCGUUUGCGUGCGAGGUUAAGGCUUGAAGGGCCGGAGCCGUAGCGAAAGCGAGUCUGAAGAGGGCGAUUUAGUACGCAGGCGCAGACCCGAAACCGUGUGAUCUACCCCUGUCCAGGGUGAAGGCAGGGUAAAACCUGCUGGAGGCCCGAACCGGUGGGCGUUGAAAAGUCCUCGGAUGAGGCGGGGGUAGGGGUGAAAUGCCAAUCGAACACGGAGAUAGCUGGUUCUCCCCGAAAUAGCUUUAGGGCUAGCCUCGGGUGAAGCUUUACGGAGGUAGAGCACUGAAAGGAUGCGGGGCCCGCAAGGGUUACCAAGUUCUAUCAAACUCCGAAUGCCGUAAAGGGAUGCCCGGGAGUCAGACGGUGAGCGCUAAGGUCCAUCGUCGAGAGGGGAACAGCCCAGACCAUCGGCUAAGGUCCCCAAGUGUGUGUUAAGUGGGGAAGGAUGUGGCGCCGCGAAGACAACCAGGAUGUUGGCUUAGAAGCAGCCAUCAUUCAAAGAGUGCGUAAUAGCUCACUGGUCGAGUGGCGCUGCGCCGAAAAUUCAACGGGGCUAAACACACCACCGAAGCCAUGGCUUGUGCCGGAAGGCACAGGGGUAGGGGAGCGUUGCAUGCGGGUUGAAGCCGUACCGGAAGGAGCGGUGGACGGCAUGCAAGCGAGAAUGCCGGUAUGAGUAACGAAAAGACAGGUGAGAAUCCUGUUCGCCGAAAGCCUAAGGUUUCCUGAGGAAGGUUCGUCCGCUCAGGGUAAGUCGGGACCUAAGGCGAGGCCGAAAGGCGUAGUCGAAAGGGCAACAGGUUGAAAUUCCUGUACCACCCGUGCGGCGUCAUGAGCGAUGGGGGGACGCAGGAGGGCAGGGACGCAGGCGGAUGGAAGGGCCUGUCCAAGCAGCAAGAGGGGUGACACAGGCAAAUCCGUGCACCGGUAACCUCAAGCUGUGACGGGGAGGGGAAACUGAAGUACCCGAAGGUCCUGUGCUCCCACUGCCGAGAAAAGCCUCUAGCCAGCCGCAGGGUGCCCGUACCGGAAACCGACACAGGCAGGCGGGAAGAAGAUUCCAAGGCGCGCGGAAGAACUCUCGUCAAGGAACUCGGCAAAAUGGCCCCGUAACUUCGGGAGAAGGGGUGCCCCGGUAGGGUGAGGAGCCCGAGGGGGCCGCAGUGAAGAGGCCCAAGCGACUGUUUAGCACAAACACAGGUCUGUGCGAAGCCGCAAGGCGACGUAUACGGGCUGACGCCUGCCCGGUGCUGGAAGGUUAAGGGGAAGGGUUAGCCUUUGAGGCGAAGCUUUGAACCGAAGCCCCAGUAAACGGCGGCCGUAACUAUAACGGUCCUAAGGUAGCGAAAUUCCUUGUCGGGUAAAUUCCGACCCGCACGAAUGGCGUAACGACUUGGGCGCUGUCUCGACGAGAGAUCCGGUGAAAUUUUAGUACCUGUGAAGAUGCAGGUUACCCGCGACGUGACGGAAAGACCCCGUGGAGCUUUACUGCAGCUUGAUAUUGGACUUUGGCAGGGCCUGUACAGGAUAGGUGGGAGCCUUGGAAGCCGGUGCGCCAGCAUCGGUGGAGGCGUCCUUGGGAUACCACCCUGGCUGUGCCGGAGUUCUAACCCGCCGCCCUGAAUCGGGCGGGGGGACCGUGUCAGGCGGGCAGUUUGACUGGGGCGGUCGCCUCCCAAAGGGUAACGGAGGCGCCCCAAGGUUCCCUCAGCGCGGUUGGAAAUCGCGCGUAGAGUGCAAAGGCAGAAGGGAGCUUGACUGCGAGACGGACGUGUCGAGCAGGGACGAAAGUCGGGCUUAGUGAUCCGGUGGUACCGGAUGGAAGGGCCAUCGCUCAACGGAUAAAAGCUACCCCGGGGAUAACAGGCUUAUCUCCCCCAAGAGUCCACAUCGACGGGGAGGUUUGGCACCUCGAUGUCGGCUCAUCGCAUCCUGGGGCCGUAGCAGGUCCCAAGGGUUGGGCUGUUCGCCCAUUAAAGCGGUACGCGAGCUGGGUUCAGAACGUCGUGAGACAGUUCGGUCCCUAUCUGUCGCGGGCGGAGGAAAUUUGAGGGGGGCUGUCCCUAGUACGAGAGGACCGGGACGGACGCACCGCUGGUGUACCAGUUGUUUCGCCAGGAGCACCGCUGGGUAGCCAAGUGCGGAAGGGAUAAGCGCUGAAAGCAUCUAAGCGCGAAGCCCGCCCCGAGAUGAGAUUUCCCACUCGUUAAGAGGUAAGACCCCUGGGAGAACACCAGGUGGAUAGGCCCGGGGUGGAAGCGCGGCAACGCGUGGAGCUGACGGGUACUAAUCGGUCGAGGGCUUAUCCAACCUUACUCU